UACGGAGGGAGCUAGCGUUGUUCGGAUAUACUGGGCGUAAAGCGCACGUAGGCGGCGCCGUAAGUCAGGGGUGAAAUCCCGGAGCUCAACUCCGGAACUGCCCUUGAAACUGCAGUGCUAGAAUCCUGGAGAGGCGAGUGGAAUUCCGAGUGUAGAGGUGAAAUUCGUAGAUAUUCGGAAGAACACCAGUGGCGAAGGCGACUCACUGGACACAUAUUGACGCUGAGGUGCGAAAGCGUGGGGAGCAAACAGG
rnacentral:rRNA from 1 species